UCCCUCCCUUAGGCUAUCAAACAAAGCUGCCCAACCUUACACUCAUCCAUCAGUCUUGAGUUAUUAAGAGUAUAAUAACUGCAGAACAUUUACAAGUAGAUGGGAUGGAGUGCUGGCCCCUUUUCAAGAACAUAAUCAGUGCUACAAAACUUUGCAAGAUGGCUAAUUUUCUCAUGCUGGCUGUUCUUUGCUCUGCUAGGACCUGCUAGAAGGAAUGUUUUCUUGAAUUUAGGGUAACUAAUAUAGGAUGCUACCAAAACUGUCUAUCAUACCAUAUCUAGCACCAAAUCUUAAUUCUAUAUUAGUAAAAUAACUGUUGUAUAGCUAUUUCUCAAAAAGGCUUUGUGAUACGUUGAAGGGAAGAAAGAGAUCAGGAUAAGUGGAGGCAUCUAAGGUCUUAUAUGACUCUCUCGAGGAUAGGCUUAAAUAAAUCAAUGCACCAAAGUAGAGGUUGUAAGUGUCUCACAGCAGAAGUGUAACAAGAUGGAGGUAAAAUGGAUCCUUCUAAAGGACAUUUUCUCACUGAUUAAAAGACAGAGGCUGUGGUAGAGUGGAGUAGCUAUGUAAUAAUCUAGGAAUCUGAUCUGCAACUUAGGGUGUGCACAAAGACAUCCAGGCUGGUGCUGCUCAGUUUACUCCCACAGCCUGAAGAGCUGGGAAACACGGUGCAGAGGCUCUUUGCAAGCCAGCACUGAAACAGAAGCAAUAUAGCCCUGAGUGCUGUGCCAGCUGAACAGGAUUAUUCUGCUUCUCAGUCCCACUUGUCAUAUCUACACGGUACUUUGCUGUGCUGUGUGGACUUGCCAGAUCAGCUCAGUGCUAGCUUGGUCUUCAGCAUGUUCUCAGCAAUACAAAUGUAUGUACUCAUGGAAAUUAAGCUAAUCUGCUUGACUUCUAGAAGUGUAAGAGAACGCUUCCUGGGUAGCCAGCAUUGCUCUAAUUAAGUAGGACUGUGGGAAGAAAAAAGCAUGUCAGUCUGUACAGUGACUUUCCAGACAGAGUAUCCUGGCAGGCACUGAAAAGCUUAUUCGUUUGAGCAUCCUGCUCAAGUGAAAAACUUCAGGCUCUAUUUUGCCAGUUUAGACACUCAGAAAUCCUGUUCCUAGGAGGGAACAGGCAGCUGUCAGGAGCUGCCACUGGGCAGAGGAUGAUGCAAGGAGAGGCUGUGCUGAGAGAGCCUGGAGGAGAGCCAGCACAGCCUUGGUGGGAGGCAUGCAGGCCGACUCUAAUAGGACAGUAGAAUUCGACUGCAUGGCCUUCUCCUUGUUAUCUCCUACACUUCAACCCUUAAAAGAAGCUGGAAGCCAGAAGAAAAUCUGAAGAGGAUGUGCCUCUGUUAAAUGGUGGGCUAGAGCAAAUGUUUUCCUUAUAGACAUUGGAGCUGCUCAUGAGAGGAAGAACAGGAGAGUGCGAGCCCAGCAAGAUAGCAGCCUUCCUUCUGCUACCAGGCACACAUUGUGGAGCCCCAGAUAGAAGCCAGCAUGUCUCACAACUCUGCUGCUGUCCUGCGUCUCAGCAGGACCUCACCUCCUACAGUGUUCAACCAGAUCCUCUCCUAUGCUUUUCUUCAAGGUUAAAUGCCAGUUCUCUGCCAGCUGAGUCUGCCAAGGCUCGCUCCCAAAUGUUCUCCAUUGCCAGUUUCUGAUACUUUGAAAAAUUAGAUGUAUGCGAUAUAAAAAUCACAGCGAAAUUCACAAAGGUUAUUUGGAAUGUAGAAAUGAUCAGGCCCAAAUCCCCUUAUAUUAGCACAGCUGAGAAUUACAAACAAACUGGUGGUGAAAGCAAGACACUG
ensembl:lncRNA